rnacentral:rRNA from 1 species
UACGUAGGGGGCAAGCGUUGUCCGGAAUCAUUGGGCGUAAAGCGCGUGUAGGCGGCCCGGUAAGUCCGCUGUGAAAGUCCAGGGCUCAACCCUGGGAUGCCGGUGGAUACUGUCGGGCUCGAGUCCGGAAGAGGCGAGUGGAAUUCCUGGUGUAGCGGUGAAAUGCGCAGAUAUCAGGAGGAACACCGGUGGCGAAGGCGGAUCUCUGGGCCUUACCUGACGCUGAGGAGCGAAAGCAUGGGGAGCAAACAGG